UACGUAGGGGGCAAGCGUUGUCCGGAAUCAUUGGGCGUAAAGAGCGCGUAGGCGGCCCGAUAAGUCCGCUGUGAAAGUCCAGGGCUCAACCCUGGAAUGCCAGUGGAAACUGUCGGGCUAGAGUCCGGAAGAGGCGAGUGGAAUUCCUGGUGUAGCGGUGAAAUGCGCAGAUAUCAGGAGGAACACCGAUGGCGAAGGCAGCUCGCUGGGACGGUACUGACGCUGAGACGCGAAAGCGUGGGGAGCAAACAGG
rnacentral:rRNA from 1 species